rnacentral:rRNA from 1 species
UAACGGCGAGUGAAGCGGGAAGAGCUCAAAUUUGAAAGCUGGUACCUUCGGUGCCCGCGUUGUAAUCUCGAGACGCGUUUUCCGCGCGGCGCUAUGGACAAGUUCCUUGGAACAGGACAUCGUAGAGGGUGAAAAUCCCGUACUUGCCAUGGAUGCACCGUGCUUUGUGAUACGUGCUCAAAGAGUCGAGUUGUUUGGGAUUGCAGCUCAAAAUGGGUGGUAGACUCCAUCUAAAGCUAAAUAUCGGGGAGAGACCGAUAGCGAACAAGUACCGUGAGGGAAAGAUGAAAAGCACUUUGGAAAGAGAGUUAAAAGUACGUGAAAUUGUCGAAAGGGAAGCGCUUGAAGUCAGCCAUGCCGCUCAGGACUCAGCCUGGCUUUUGCUUGGUGUACUUCCUGGGUAGCAAGUCAGCAUUGGUUUGGACCGUCGGAGAAGCAUGGCAGGAAUGUGACGCCCUCGGGCGUGUUAUAGCCUGCCA